CAGGCUGGAUGUACCUUCCGGAGAGUGUCACUUUCUAAAGAAGAGAAGGCGUUUCACUGUGACAGUUUCACAGUCCCACGAAUAGACUCUUCCAUCCGUAUAAGGACCUUCCUUAGCACAUCUAUAGAAAUGAACAGAAUAUUGAAACCCCAGCAGAGGAGUAACCUCUGCUUUUCUCAUGCUUACAGGGUGCUGACUUGCUUUUCUUGGUUCUCAUACGAUGCAAUCUGACAAUUCAGCAGCUUCCUGUUUGAGGGUUAAUUAUUUUUUUUAAUGCCAAUAGUUAAGAUGUUUAAAUUUGUGAUUCAUUCCCUAUAAUUAGACCUAAUGCUUAGAAUAUAUCCAUGUCUAUGGCAUUCACAUUUCUCCUUCGAGGGCUAUUAUUUUCCCCUCUGAGCAGCUGCCAGUGGACCUAGAUCAUGAAAACAUGAUGAUGAAGGCAACCCUAAAUUUGCAAUCGCCAAGGCCGUGAGUCUGGAGAGCCCCAGCUCUGUCCCUGCAGAAAACCGGCAGCCCCCCAAGCUUCGGACAGGGCUGCUCACUGAAGAAGUGCUCGAGUGAAAUGGAAGAGGUGGCCUUGUCUCUUCCCCAGAUGAGGGAAGGAAUGCAGAGAAGAAAGGGAAAGAGCUGUGAGCUGGGAGGAGGGAAGAUGAAGUGAGAUGGAGAUGGAGAGGGAAGGAAGGAGCCGGAGGAGGAAGAGGGGCCGCCUGCCUUCAAAGGAACAGCAUGCUUGCUUGGCUGUGCCAGCAGCUUAAUGGCUGUCACUCUCGCACCUGGGACUUCCUCUUUCUGCAGACAUACCGAGCUGGUGUUUCACAGGCAAGCGCUACUCCUUUCCGGGAGGAGAGAUGAUGCCAGCUUGGAGUUUUGAGCAACAGAUAUCACUACACUCCAUCCUCACCUCCUUCAUUUAUCCUGAGGCAGCUUCUCCCGGGCUGGGUCCGGGUGCAUGACCACUUGACUCGUUUCAUUGGGUCAAUGAGUCGACUGCUUUUUGGUUUAAUCAAAAUGAACCACAUGAACCACGAAAGCAUGAUAGUCAAAUAGACCGCUAACCCUGAACGAACUAGUUCGUGUCCUACAGCCCUUAACCUGACCCAGAAGACAGCGGCCGCGGGGUCCAGCACGCUGUGCUCCUCACACAGCUGUGGGGCCUGUCUCACCUGAAUGAGGGUUGGGGACUUCACGAUUCUCUUGCCGAGGCCUCAGGUCAGUAACAGAUGGGAGGUGUGAUAGGAGAUGGUUUGCCGUUUGCCAGUGUGUGGCCAACUUAUGAAGGCUGGACUCACCAUCAAAGAGGCUUCAUGGUCCAGGCAGGGUCAGGCAAGGUAAUCUCACAUCAGUCAUUAGUUGGGGGGGCCGUUGAUGUGCACAGAUGUCUGUAGUUGUGAAGGGACUUUCAACAACUUCAUAACCACUCAUAUUCCUCCUUCAAUCAAAAGUCAACCUUCCCUCCCACCUCGGAAGGUCUUAAAGAAGUUAAAAUGGAUCUGAACUGAUGGCCCAGUAACUCCAGUGUGCGCGAGACUCAUCUGGGAAGCUUGUUAAAAGGGCAGCAUCCCAUUUACCCACUAUUAUGUAUAAAAUAGGUAACUAAAUGAGAACCUACUGUAUAGCACAGGGAACUCUAUUCAAUGCUGUGAUGAGCUAAAUGGGAAGGAAAUCUAAACAAGAGGGGAUAUAUGUAUACGUAUAACU